GUUGAGAAGAGACAGAGAAUAUGGUUGAAGUAAUAAGAAGAUUUGCAGAGAAGAAUAAUGAAGAGAGGAAUAGAGAAGAGAAACAAUGGGGUCCUCUAUAGAGAUGAGCAUUGCAAGAUUAUGUCCUCCCUCUUCUUCUCCUUCAGAUAGUGCUUCAUCAGUCACAUAAUCUGUUAACCAGGUAUGUGAGCAUAAGCCACACAUCCAAACACACGGAAACACUCAACACUAGGCUUCAUGUUACUCCAAGCUUCUUCAGGAGUAGUAUUGAGAACAGCUGUGGUGGGGCUUCUAUUUAUCACAUAGAUGGACCAAUUUACAGCCUCUGCCCAGAAUUGCUUUGCUGGCCUAUGCUCAGGAGGUUGUUCUUUAAUUCAGUUUCAUGGAAUCCCAGAUGGCCUUUGAAGUCUCCUUGUUGAGUAUAGUUUCAAUGAUGGUUCUGUCAAUGGCUUGAAAUAG